rnacentral:rRNA from 1 species
AGUUGGUGGAGUGAUUUGUCUGGUUAAUUCCGUUAACGAACGAGACCUCGUCCUACUAAAUAGUUGUUAUAAUUCUUUGAAUUGUACCAUACUUCUUAGAGGGACUAUCGGAUUGGUGUACCCGGUGGAAGUUCGAGGCAAUAACAGGU